UACAGAGGCCUCGAGCGUUGUUCGGAAUUACUGGGCGUAAAGAGAAUGUAGGUGGUCAUGUAAGUCAGAUGUGAAAGCCCUGGGCUUAACCUGGGAAGUGCAUUUGAUACUGCUUGGCUGGAGUGCGAGAGAGGAAAGCGGAAUUCCUGGUGUAGCGGUGAAAUGCGCAGAUAUCAGGAGGAACACCAAUGGCGAAGGCAGCUCGCUGGGACGGUACUGACGCUGAGACGCGAAAGCGUGGGGAGCAAACAGG
rnacentral:rRNA from 1 species